rnacentral:sRNA from 1 species
CAACCCACUCUCUGUGCUAUGACUUCAUUACUCUUUCCCAGCCCAGCCCUGGGCAAGCCCCUUACGAAGUCUCAGGCUACCUGGAUGACCACCCUUUCUUAUGAUGCUGCAAGGAGGGCAGGUGGGCAGAGCCCCGUGCAUCCUGGGCUCAGGCCAGGGACCCAAGAGCUUGGGAGAAGCUGGUUCUCAGACUGAAGGCCAGAGCCCAGCACCUUGUCACCAUCCCGGGGAGCAUCAUGGCACACAACAACCAGAGCCAGAGUCACACACCCUCCAGACCACGGUUGUCUGUGAGUUGCUGGGGAACCGGAGCAGCUGGGGACACUGGCACUACAACUGUGAUGGCCAGGACUCCCUUCUUAGCACACUUGAGUCUUUCAACUCCAGCAAAAGCCAGCCAGAACCAAGCAUAGCUGCAGAAGGAGAGAAGGGAAGGAAACAAUCCUUCCUGACCUAGAGCUGCGUCUACCCUCUCCGGAAACACCUGAAAGCUGGGGUGGGACCACGGCCCACCGUAGGUGUGAUAGUAGAGACAGGGUUUCACCAUGUUGGCCAGGCUGGUCUCGAACUGCUGAUCUGAAGUGAUCCGCCCGCCUCAGCCUCCUAAAGUGCUGGGAUUAUAGGCAUGAGCCACCGCUCCCGGCCUCCUCCUAUAUCUCUUGAUCAAACUUCAGGGGAAAACCUGCCAGAUUCCCCAGGAAGGAUGCUUGGAGGUGUGCAGAGAAGUCUACAUUCCCAUGUCAAGCUACAGCUAGAGAGUUGACUCCUCUAUUUGAGAUUGACAGGCCUCGGAAGUCAAAAUAAGUGGUUUCCUAGACCGGGUCGAGAGCAAGUCUCUAUUGGUCCCAACUGAGUUUUUUCAGCUGGUUUUUCAACCAAACAGCACCUCAUCUCCCAGUGAGGGGAAGGGAAGGCUGGGCUGAGAGCAGCAAGGCUGCUCAUCUCACCUCUCCCCACCCAGCCAUGCCAGCCGCCUCACCUGGUGGGGAGAGGUGGGCCUCACCUGGGUCCCCUGGCAGUGCUCUGUGAAGGGUCUUGACAUUGCACUGUAAUAAUAAAGGUGUGUGUGAAGUAUC